UUUAUGGUGAAAACGAGGGUGUCCGUCUUUUACUCACUUAUCAAGUCAAUGAUGCUUCAUGUGUUCAGUGCUGCCAACAAUGGCAGGAUUUCUGUGGUCUGAGCUUUGGGUGUUGAGUGAGAUGUCUGUCUCUCUAGGGGUCCAGUUCAUGUGGGACUGCUGUUGUGAGUCGGUGAAGAAAACCAGCAAGAACUCUGGUUCUGGAUGUAUCCUGGCUCACUGUAUGGGCCUGGGAAAAACACUGCAGGUGGUAACCCUACUCCACACCACUACUGCUGUGUGAAAGUUAGACUUCUCCACGGUCUGAUCGUCUGUCCUCUCAACACGGUUCUCAACUGGCCAAUGAGUUUGAGAAGUGGCCGUACGGCUUCAAGGACAAGGAGAGUUUAGAGGUGACGGAGCUGGCCACGGUGAAGCGACCUCAGGAGAGACGGCUGCUCUGCAGCAGUGGCAGAGAGGAUGGAGGGAUCAUGAUCAAUUGGCUAUGAGAUGUACCGUAACCUCACACAGGUAGAAACAUCAAGAGCAAGAAACUCAAAGAGACCUUCCAGAAGACCCUGGUUGACCAGGCCCAGACUUUGUGAUCUGUGAUGAGGGCCACAUCUUGAAGAACGAGCGCUCGGCCAUCUCUAAAGCCAUGAACUCCAUCAAGACCCGCGGAGAGUGGUGCUCACCGGGCACACCGCUGCCAGAACAACCUCAUAGAGUGUAUGUCCGUUACUUCCUGUUAUAUCCAGACCGCUAGCCUACAGGGCAUUGGGAAAGUAUUCUGACCCGGGACUUUUGUUACGUUACAGCCUUAAUCAAAU